rnacentral:snoRNA from 1 species
CUGUCUCCUGAGCGCGAGGCGGGCGGGCGGCGCCGCUUGUGCGGCAGCCGCUCGUCAUCGAUGACCGUUCGCGGUUCCCAUGUUGGGUUCCGCGAGGGAGAGAGCGCGGGCUGAGUGGU